AACGCGAAGAACCUUACCCACUCUUGACAUCCAGAGAACUUUCCAGAGAUGGAUUGGUGCCUUCGGGAACUCUGAGACAGGUGCUGCAUGGCUGUCGUCAGCUCGUGUUGUGAAAUGUUGGGUUAAGUCCCGCAACGAGCGCAACCCUUAUCCUUUGUUGCCAGCGGUCCGGCCGGGAACUCAAAGGAGACUGCCAGUGAUAAACUGGAGGAAGGUGGGGAUGACGUCAAGUCAUCAUGGCCCUUACGAGUAGGGCUACACACGUGCUACAAUGGCGCAUACAAAGAGAAGCGACCUCGCGAGAGCAAGCGGACCUCAUAAAGUGCGUCGUAGUCCGGAUUGGAGUCUGCAACUCGACUCCAUGAAGUCGGAAUCGCUAGUAAUCGUAGAUCAGAAUGCUACGGUGAAUACGUUCCCGGGUCUUGUACACACCG
rnacentral:rRNA from 1 species